rnacentral:rRNA from 2 species
GCGGCAACAGCUCAAAUUUGAAAUCUGGCCCUCGGGUCCGAGUUGUAAUUUGUAGAGGAUGCUUUUGGUGCGGUGCCUUCCGAGUUCCCUGGAACGGGACGCCAUAGAGGGUGAGAGCCCCGUCUGGUUGGACACCAAGCCUCUGUAAAGCUCCUUCGACGAGUCGAGUAGUUUGGGAAUGCUGCUCUAAAUGGGAGGUAUAUGUCUUCUAAAGCUAAAUACCGGCCAGAGACCGAUAGCGCACAAGUAGAGUGAUCGAAAGAUGAAAAGCACUUUGAAAAGAGGGUUAAAUAGUACGUGAAAUUGUUGAAAGGGAAGCGCUUAUGACCAGACUUGAGCCCGGUUAAUCAUCCAGCCUUCUGGCUGGUGCACUUGGCCGGCUCAGGCCAGCAUCAGUUCGGCGCGGGGGAUAAAGGCUUCGGGAAUGUGGCUCCUCCGGGAGUGUUAUAGCCCGUUGUGUAAUACCCUGCGCUGGACUGAGGUUCGCGCAUCUGCAAGGAUGCUGGCGUAAUGGUCAUCAGCGACCCGUCUUGAAACACGGACCAAGGAGUCGUCUUCGUAUGCGAGUGUUCGGGUGUCAAACCCCUACGCGUAAUGAAAGUGAACGCAGGUGAGAGCUUCGGCGCAUCAUCGACCGAUCCUGAUGUUCUCGGAUGGAUUUGAGUAAGAGCAUACGGGGCCGGACCCGAAAGAAGGUGAACUAUGCCUGUAUAGGGUGAAGCCAGAGGAAACUCUGGUGGAGGCUCGCAGCGGUUCUGACGUGCAAAUCGAUCGUCAAAUAUGGGCAU